UACGUAGGGUGCAAGCGUUGUCCGGAAUUAUUGGGCGUAAAGAGCUCGUAGGCGGUCUGUCGCGUCGAAUGUGAAAACCCGGGGCUCAACUCCGGGCCUGCAUUCGAUACGGGCAGACUAGAGUUCGGUAGGGGAGUCUGGAAUUCCUGGUGUAGCGGUGAAAGUGCGCAGAUAUCAGGAGGAACACCGGUGGCGAAGGCGGAUCUCUGGGCCAUUACUGACGCUGAGGAGCGAAAGCGUGGGGAGCGAACAGG
rnacentral:rRNA from 1 species